rnacentral:rRNA from 1 species
CCAGACUCCUACGGGAGGCAGCAGUGGGGAAUAUUGCACAAUGGGCGCAAGCCUGAUGCAGCGACGCCGCGUGAGCGAAGAAGUAUUUCGGUAUGUAAAGCUCUAUCAGCAGGGAAGAAAAUGACGGUACCUGACUAAGAAGCCCCGGCUAAAUACGUGCCAGCAGCCGCGGUAAUACGUAUGGGGCAAGCGUUAUCCGGAUUUACUGGGUGUAAAGGGAGCGUAGGCGGCCUGGCAAGCCUGAUGUGAAAUACCGGGGCCCAACCCCGGGGCUGCAUUGGGAACUGCCAGGCUGGAGUGCCGGAGAGGCAGGCGGAAUUCCUAGUGUAGCGGUGAAAUGCGUAGAUAUUAGGAGGAACACCAGUGGCGAAGGCGGCUUACUGGACAGUAACUGACGUUGAGGCUCGAAAGCGUGGGGAGCAAACAGGAUUAGAUACCCCAGUA